AGACAUUUUUAAAAGAUAGAAGUCACCCUACACUUUUUCUGUUGAUUAGUCUUUAGGAACCUUUCCUGUAAAGUUGGAAAUACGGAUGGGUGGUGGAGGGUUGGUAAUGGAGGUAACCUUAACCCCGGUAUAAUAAUUGUAUAUUCAUCGAAUCACCCGUAUAAGUCAUAUGAUGUCAGUACAAUAUCUCUAUCACAAUCUUCACAUGAUCUGGACACCCCAAAGGGUCGAAUCUGCGUCUAUAGAACUUCAUAUAUGGGUCUAGGCUUCAUUGGUAAUGGGUACCUUAAAGGAAUUACUUUUGUGUCAAGCGAAGAUUGAACCUGAGACCUUAAGGUCACUAAUUGUUUUCUUUACUAAUUGGAUACCUUUUCAACCUAUUAGCUUAAUUUAUUAUUUUUUUUGCAUUAUGUACAAUUCUCCUUUUUUUUUUCUUUAUGUUACUUAAAGGAACUUAAGAUUGAAAAUGAAUGUCACAUAAGCAAAAGGGUGUGCCACCUCAGCAUCCUAGUCAAUUUCGUACUCAUAUAAGACGAGUUGAAGGUACGACGAUGAUGAUUCAGUAUGACCCGUGUCAGAGUUUGUGCAUUCGGGUUUAAUUGUAGUUUCAGGAUUUUCUUGUUUCUGGACUUGCUUUUUUAGGUAAGAAUGCCAGUGAUUUUUUAUCUCGUUAUCAGUUCGGCCAGGCAAAUGUUGUGAUAUUAGAGACCAUCUGUAUAGAUUAAUUUAGAAGAUAUUUAUUAAUAACUUGGUAUGGAAACAUUGAGUUGAUCUUAGAAAAAUAAAAAAAUAAAAAAAAUUGUUGCUUA